GUUUUACGUGGCCAUUAUUAUAAGUUUGACAAGUUCACACAAAAGAUUAUCCCUGUUUUGAUUUUGAAAUCCCAAGUCUGCAUCAAAAUUGAGAAUUAUUUAUAGGCCAGUCACAGGAUGUCAGUCACAGUCACUUCUGGAAUGUGAAGCACCUAGAUUUUGUGGUUGCAGACUGACAGACCCAAAAAAAUGACCACAUGUUAUCUGCUAAAAAUACAAGUGACAAACCACUUACUUUCAUAUGUAAACAUAACCCUUGCGAAUUGUAUGUUAACAUUAACGGGAAAGUACAUGUCAGAUUUUUAUUAUUAUUUUUGGGGGGUUAUAUAAAUGAGAUCUUUUUUUAUUUCUUUUGUCAUCUACAGGUUAAUAUAAAAAGGGGAACUUCUUAACAUUGCAUGCUUGUUUUGCCUUUUUUUUUUUUUAGUGAUGUGGCUGCCCAUAAUGUUCUGGUCUGCAAAAGAAAAACAAACUUGGAAGUCCAUCUCUCUCCUGUCUCUCAUUGGAAAUACAUCUGUCUCUUCAGCUGAUCACUUAUGCUGUUCACUGAAGCCUCAUCAGAAAUUAUCUCAGCGGAAGGGCGGCUUUCAAGAAGCAAUUCUUACACAAGGGAAACAAGGAGAAAAAGCUGAGGUAUGCUAGAUUACACAAGAACUGGGCUGAAAAUCAGUUGCAACAGGCCUGAUGGAGUGAUGAAUCCAAAUGAGACAUUUUAGGUUCAAGUCAUAAUUAGAGGAGCUCAGGAGAGAGGUGCAACAGUGAGAUGCCUGCAGUGGUUUGAGACUGUAUUUCAGCCACUGCUGUUGAGAAUUUUGGCAAAACUGAUGAAAUCAUAAAUACAGAAAAGUACCAAAGCAUUUUUAUUGGCAGUGGCUUAAUUUUUCUGCAUGACAACGAUCCCAAAGACACUGUAAAUGCAAUAAAAAUACACCUGGAUAGAAAAGACACAUAGGUUUCAUCAUCCAAAGAAGACUGCAGACUUUUGCAGGGUACAAUAAAUUGUAUACACUGCAGCUAGAAUAAUCCUUCUGGCUGAGAUGGUACAGGUA
ensembl:lncRNA